GGGUCAGUAGGUUGGUCGUGCCACCGGUACGUACUGGUCUCACUGAUUCCUCCUUCCUGAAGAACCGUAAUGCCAUUAAUUUGGUGUUGCGGGGAAACAGGACUGUUACUUUGAAAAAAUUAGAGUGUUUAAAGCAAGCUAACGAUUGAAUACAUUAGCAUGGAAUAAUGAAAUAGGACGAUCGAUCCUAUUUUGUUGGUUUCUAGGAUUGACGUA
rnacentral:rRNA from 1 species